rfam:Pan troglodytes isolate Yerkes chimp pedigree #C0471 (Clint) chromosome 7, whole genome shotgun sequence.
AUCCUUUUGUAGUUUGUAAGUGUGAUGAUUGGGUUUUUUCACACUCAUGUGUGAGAUAUGCCUUCCUUAAAGUUUGUUACACCAUCAGCACAUUACCCAUCUGACA